CUUAUAUUCUGUAGCAAGGUUAACCGAAUAGGGGAGCCGGAGGGAAACCGAGUCUUAAUUGGGCGUUAAGUUGCAGGGUAUAGACCCGAAACCCGGUGAUCUAGCCAUGGGCAGGUUGAAGGUUGGGUAACACUAACUGGAGGACCGAACCGACUAAUGUUGAAAAAUUAGCGGAUGACCUGUGGCUGGGGGUGAAAGGCCAAUCAAACCGGGAGAUAGCUGGUUCUCCCCGAAAGCUAUUUAGGUAGCGCCUCGUGAAUUCAUCUCCGGGGGUAGAGCACUGUUUCGGCUAGGGGGCCAUCCCGGCUUACCAACCCGAUGCAAACUGCGAAUACCGGAGAAUGUUAUCACGGGAGACACACGGCGGGUGCUAACGUCCGUCGUGAAGAGGGAAACAACCCAGACCGCCAGCUAAGGUCCCAAAGUCAUGGUUAAGUGGGAAACGAUGUGGGAAGGCCCAGACAGCCAGGAUGUUGGCUUAGAAGCAGCCAUCAUUUAAAGAAAGCGUAAUAGCUCACUGGUCGAGUCGGCCUGCGCGGAAGAUGUAACGGGGCUAAACCAUG
rnacentral:rRNA from 1 species